UACGUAGGGUGCAAGCGUUUAAUCGGAAUUACUGGGCGUAAAGCGUGCGCAGGCGGUUUUGUAAGUCUGUCGUGAAAGCCCCGGGCUCAACCUGGGAAUUGCGAUGGAGACUGCAAGGCUUGAAUCUGGCAGAGGGGGGGUGGAAUUCCGCGUGUAGCAGUGAAAUGCGUAGAGAUGCGGAGGAACACCGAUGGCGAAGGCAGCCCCCCUGGGCUAGCACUGACGCUCAGGCACGAAAGCGUGGGGAGCAAACAGG
rnacentral:rRNA from 1 species